GGGUUUCAGUUGAGUUGAUGAAGAGAGAGACGAACAGAGAAGGUAGGGACUCUUCUUCUGUCUUUUAAUUAGUCUAUGAUUAGGGAGAUAGAGGAAUCUAUUGGUCAAUACAACUAAAUAAUAUAUGUGUGUGUGUGAGAUUAACUUCAAAUAAAGAAAAUAGAGGAGGGGGAGAGAAGCUAAUUAUUUUUUCCUUUCUGCAUUAUCCUCUUCUUCUUUCUCUUUUUUCUUACCUUCUCCUCAAUAUUUUGUUUAGCCUCUCAUUUCAUGUACCUGAGAGAAGCAGAAUAAACGAAGUAAGAUUAAAAAACUGAGUAUCGAAGAAGACAAACAUUGCUAAGCAGACGUAUGCGACCGUGGGAGCUUUUAAAGUUUUGAUUUUGAGCAAAGCAGACAAAAAUUAGAGGGGAAAGCUGAGGAUUUUGGGGAGUUUUUUGAACCCAAAUAGAGGUAUGUCACUCACCUCUUCCUUGUUGAGCAUCCAUUUGGGUAAAUUGUUGAAGCACCCCUCUUUUAUAGGCUUCUUACAUGAAAGGAAAAUUGACUUCUUCAAUACUUUUCUUUUUUUUUUCUUUCGUUUUUAUAAAAUCUUAUGAAUGAACCUGAUAA
rnacentral:lncRNA from 1 species